GACGAACGCUGGCGGCGUGCUUAACACAUGCAAGUCGAACGGAAAGGCCCUGCUUUUGUGGGGUGCUCGAGUGGCGAACGGGUGAGUAACACGUGAGUAACCUGCCCUUGACUUUGGGAUAACUUCAGGAAACUGGGGCUAAUACCGGAUAGGAGCUCCUGCUGCAUGGUGGGGGUUGGAAAGUUUCGGCGGUUGGGGAUGGACUCGCGGCUUAUCAGCUUGUUGGUGGGGUAGUGGCUUACCAAGGCUUUGACCGGUAGCCGGCCUGAGAGGGUGACCGGCCACAUUGGGACUGAGAUACGGCCCAGACUCCUACGGGGGGCAGAAGGGGGGAAUAUGGCACAAUGGGCGGAAGCCUGAUGCAGCAACGCCGCGUGCGGGAUGACGGCCUUCGGGUUGUAAACCGCUUUCGCCUGUGACGAAGCGUGAGUGACGGUAAUGGGUAAAGAAGCACCGGCUAACUACGUG
rnacentral:rRNA from 1 species